CUUCACACAAAAAAGAAAAGGUCGAAAAGAAUGUACAUUUAGUUGAGCUGCUUUUUCACAUCAUUUCUCAGAUUGCAAACACUUAAAGCCAACUUCAGUUUUCCACUUUACCUAUAGAAAAAACACAAUAAAUAAAACUUUUAUGUCGCAGGGACAAUUUUUCCAGCGUUCCUGUGCCACCAACACUGUAGCUGAAUAUAGGAUUGCAUAUAUCAGUGAAAUAAUCCACAAAUUAUCUUAAUAGAAAAAGUUAACUCGUAAAGAACAGUAUAUUAUACUGUCUCUGAAAAUGCAUAAAUCUGACGUUUUUUUUCCCAAGCUUAACGAACUACAUAAAGUUGUUUUUAGCUGCCAGUCUGUGAGAGAAGCUGCCAAAAGCAGCUGUAUUUAAUUUUAUUAAAAUCAAACCUUCCCUCCAUAAGCACGAACACAUUUAACUUCCACUUCUAUGAGGAAUCCCUCCACAGAUGGGGGCUCUGUUAAGGUAACAAGAAAAAGUAGCUAAAACUUCUAAUUCCUCCCAAAAGAAAACCUCAGUAUCUACUGCCUUAUUAGUUAAUAGCUGACUGGAAUACAAUAUUUUAAUCGCUACGCUGUAUAAUGCUGAGCAGAGAUCAGUGGAUGUGUAUAGGUAUAUUCAUACACGCGGGUAUCGUCUGUAGGUGCUCAUGCCAUGGACAUUCAGGAUCCAGUAAGUAAAGGAAGCUUUGUUUAAGCAAGCCCUGUCCCCACAACGUUCUGCUCCAUAAAUAUUAUCAUGUACCUUCCAUGCUCAUCAUCUCCUCUGCAAAAAGAGAAGUUCUACCUGCUCGUCUUCCCUGUAUUUAAUGUCCGAUGGAUCCCCAAACCGAUCCACACUUAACCCUUUCCUGUCAGACAGAGCCUUGGAUCGUCGCACAUAAGCAAAGGCAUUUGGUAACUGCUGCUUUUCUCACUUGACGAAGAGCCAGAGCAGAUGGCGCUGCCUUCAACACCUGCCCUCCGCAUGGCAGAACUCAGCUCCGUUUCUGGGAGUAAGCUUACGCCUGUACAGUUCCUGAAGGAAACACUGACACUCCACUACUGCAGAACAGUUCUCAAAUUGGAUUUAUAAACUGGGACCUUCUGCCCUUUUUUUUUUCCUAAACCACGGUAUACAAAAGGUGUGUUGACUAAUCCAUAGGACGUGCAAAGGAACCGUUGGGCCGCACAGACACAGCAGCUCAGAAGGCAGAACGAGAUCAGCACGCUGUGAGCAGAGCCUAAGCAGAGCCAGCAGCACGUCUGCUUUGUGCUGAACCCACACUCGGGCUGAAUGCACACCCAGAACCUGCCCCACUUCCAAGGUUUGGUCAACGGUAUUACAAAUAUGAACCCCUCAGCACGAGCUGAAGCCUCAUCCCAGACUUCCCCUCACCAAGAGCAAAUUACAACAAUUUAAGCUUAUUGAGGGAAGAGAUUCUAUUGCACAUUUAAGGCAAGAGCUGCAGGAUGGACCACUCUGCACAGGUCUCAGAUGGAGCAGGGGGAGAUCUGUGCCCGCUCUGCAGCCCUCAAUUCCCACCCAGAGCUCUCUGUGUGCCUGCAUCUGCUCUGUCUGUCCGCGUUUGUUUAUUGAAGGAUAUUCUAAAGUGGGCCAGGAGAUGAAAUCUGGAUAAUAUUUGUUUAACUGUCCCCCCCCAAAGCCUCCUGGGGUUAUGUAAACAAGGAGCAGAAGAGCACAAUGCCACAGGACAGCCCUCGGCUUUGCCAACACACAAACACCCUCUGGUCCCUAUCACUGCGAGGCCCACUUCAUUCUCAUUUGCCACAAUAAAACUAAGAAAUAUAUUACAAAAGAAAACGUGACUCAACAUAUAUUAACAACCCCAUGACUUCAACAGCAAAAAAAGCCACACCGACGUGAAUGUGUCCGCUAAGCCACAGCCAGGGGAGGGCUGGGAGCAUCUGCCCAGUUGGACUUCGCUCAUUGCAGGUGGGUGGGUGGCACGGACACACGGACACAGCGUUCUUCCAAACAGCAAAGCAGCAAAACACAGCACGCCUCCAGUGCUAUGGGUGUGAGGUCACCUGCCCGGCUGCCACUCCACAGCAGCUCAGCACUGCUCAGUCCCAACCAUCGGCUCAAAGCAAAGGAGAAACCAUCAGAACCAACACAGCACUGACAGAACCCAUUGGCCCAGCGGCCGCCCCGACCCCGGCAGGCAGCGGGAGAACCUCUUCAAAGCAGCAAACAGUUGGUGACCACUGAGAUAUCAACGCGUCCACGCUCUGAAACAGCCCCUACAACGCGUGCCCUGCCCCAGUCACAGCACGAGGAGUGACAGCGAUGGCAGAACAAAAGCAAUCUGUCCCAGCACAGUGCCACACGCAUCAGUCUCUGCUGAUGAAACCCAUCAAACCCAUCGGCUUUGUUUGAACACAGCAGCAGCCACGAAGGGGAAAUACCACCUAUCUGCACAGUUAAAUCGUAACAAAAAAAGGAGGAAUUCAGAAACCUGUAUAGGCUGAAGGCAGGAAAAUUAAGGAGUAAAGCAGUCAAACCUAUCAUCUCCACUGCCAUCCCAUCAUCUGCUGUAAGAACCGUCUGAGGCGCCGUCACUGCUCAGUCUCAGAUGUGUGACAGCGACGGCAGAAACACCAUCAGCAGAAAAGCAGUGAGGAAAACACAUCAGAUCCCACAGAGAUCCGUCCCUGCGGCCGCUGCUGACCGCGGCCACCACCCAGCACUGCAUGCUGCUGCUCCCAGCGGGCAGGGGGGCAUUCGGCAGCAGGAACAGAGCUCUGCGGGAUGCUCACAUCUGUCGGACCUUUCCUCCAACACAUUGGCUGCUGAAUAAAUAAGCGGUGCUUUGUGCCAAAUCGCUCCACUUCCUACGCUGGCACCGGGCUCCUUCCCAGCAGUGCUCACCGCUGUGCGCCCACUGCAGCUCAGCUGCGGGUUCCAGUGGGAACCCCCGCACUGCACACAGAUGGCUGCGGGACCUGCAGGCACAGGCACUGCUCCAGAGCCCUUUGCUACGGCUGAACCCGGAAUGCGGUGACUCUGAAAUACAGAGAGAAGUUCAGAGCUGCCCAACAAACCGCCCAGGAAAUGGCAGAGGGAGCGACAUCCCAACACAGAACACAACGCGUCGGGCCAAGGAGAUGCGCUGCGCCUGAAACCCGGGGACGGAAGGGCACACACCUGCUGUCCACAAACAGCUGCAGGGGGAAAGCAGAUGGCUGCUCCACUCCUUCUGACUUCUGGUCUCAUCACCUUAACCUGCAGGAAUCCACAGCGCUCACACAGACUCUUCCCAUCCCCUAAGCAGAAAACCUGCAACAAGCGAAGAGCAAAGCCAUCCCUGCCAGCAAUGGAGAGGAGAGGAGAGAGAGAGGAGAGAGGAGGCUGCGCUGCUCCCGGGAGAACACCGCGCGGGUCGGACUCCUCGCACUCGGGGGUCAAUCACCGAUGUGAUACAGAGGUAAUAAAAUGCACAAACGGUCAAUAACCUCCUUCAGUGAAUGGACAGCCUCUUUCUGGAAACCUUUCUCCCCCCUCCUCUUUACAAGAAGAAAAACAGGACCCGAAGGGAAGGCGUUCUGUACAGAAGGGAUUGCGGCUGAGCGCGGGCGAAGUGCCGCUGCCAUGCAAAGCCGGAGUGAGGGACGGGGCUGUGCUGCAGCCACACACAGCAGAGGGGAGCUGAGCGGACCCAUCGCAGUGAGAACGCGGCCUCGAGGCACAGCGAGGGCCCCCACCUGCACUGCGGGGAGCAGCACAAACCCGCAUUUCUUUUGAAAAUCACAGUAUUCUAUAAAUGGAAAGUUCAUUCCUAGCGGUUCCCCAUUGUAUUGGCAAAUGCAACAGUCUGCUUGGGAGCUCUCUAUAUUCAUACGAAAGCGCAGUGCGGGGAGGGCCAGGCCCGUUCAGAAGGUACGUCCAGAUGGGAACUCCGACCCCACGCAGCUCUGUGGUUAUUUAACUGAAAAAGGUAUAAAUGACAGCAGCAGGUUUUUGCUGCACGACCUUUCCUCCCACUCUGACACGUCUGAUCUGAGGGCAGCAGCUCCCAACACACCCACAUUUAACGUCAGAACAGAACUGGCGGCUCAUCAACCACAAAGGCUCCCCCCCAAACACCGCAGCUCCCCUCCGCGUUUACAUCUGACGAUUCCAUGGGCUAUUUUCAUGCACACGCAGUGGAAAUACAGACUGGGAGGUGGGGGGGUGGGCAGACCCUCCUCUGCACGGCGCGGCGCCGCAGGAAGCGGAGCAAAGCACGGAGCUGCUCAGUGCUGUGACCUCAACCCCCCCCGGGAGGAAGGAACAAAUCCCGCACCUCUCAGCCACGUGGUCCCGAAUUUGGACGGUUGCAUCCAGAUGUGAUUUUUUUUUUUGUUGGUUUUUUGUUGUUGUUGUUUUAAAUUAAGGCCAUUUUAAAUGUCUACUUACAAGUCUAAUAAACAAGAUCUCUUAUAUACACGUGUAGUUAAAAAAAACUGAGAAGGUAGCAUUUAGCAACAGCUCCCUGUGAAAGUCUCCAGUUCGGAACCUCAUCAUUCUGAAGCGACUCCGGUUUUAAAUAAACAGAUCACAGACGAGAACUGACAUGCAUGUGCCUAAGAGUCAAUCGAACGAGAGAGCGAUGCAGACAGAAAUCCCACCGAGGAACGGACAGAACUGCACAGAACACGGGGCGGCCAGCAGCAUCCCCACUCACACCGUACCUUUGUGGCUGCGUCGAAGCCAAGGGCUCCGCAUCACUGACCUUUGUGGGACUCCUCCCAGUCGGAGCUGCCUUUUGGUUUUCUCCGAUUGAAAAAGCAUCGGCGACCCGAAACGCGUGGAUGCUGGGAGUUACGGAGCACUGCAGGGCGUGCAGCCCGACAAACACUUCCAACAAAGAUGCUCUGUUGCGCAGGGAGGGACCUUCCAGUUGCAUGGGAAGGGAGGGCAGAGACGGACACGGGGAAACGAUCGGAAAGGAAACAUGUUUAGUGCAAAUGGUCAACUAAUGGCACAACCGUGAGCAAACACCGCCCCGACACACACACACACACACACACACACACCCCAACAGCGGUUCCACGCAGCAGCGCUUGCACGAAUCUCAGGACGGCGUCCCGCUGAUUUCUGGAAGCACACAGAAAUGUGUAUAACUCAUUAGGAGUGGGGCAGCCCCACAAACAGCACCAAACCCCGACGGAGCGGGGAGAAGCGCUGCGGGGCUCUGCUUAAAGCCGGCAGCAGCUGGCGAUGAACGGAGACAAAAAGCAAAGCCCGGGGACUUGGAGUGCACAGAGAGCAGGGCUGGGCCGAGCAGUGCCGGAGGGACAGCUCGUCUGGAAAUGGGAACUAAAAGGGCUCUUUAAUUGAGGUGUAUUUAACCUCAAUGUGGGCGUUCCACCCCUCCCGCAUGGAGGGCUUCCCAUCACUGCCUCAUUAACGCAGCUCCUAACGGUCGCUUUGUUAACGAAACCCAAAUAAUGCCAGCUCCUAACUCUGCUGAGGAGGGACGUGCACUGAGGGCCCAUCAUGGUGCCUCCUUCGGCGUCACACCGACAGCGCUGUAACAGUGCCAGCAGUGAUGCUCCGAGAAACCUUUAAACCCAUCUUUCCAACCAGACAGAGCCCUGGGAGUGCAGACAGAACCACCACAGCUCACCAGCUGCACAGCAGCACGGCCAGCGGGCAGCAAAGGACACUGUCACACUGCUCAGCCACACCGCAGCAAUGAGGACCAACAGAAACCAUCUGCUGUGGGUUACCAGAAGCCCAACAUGCCCCGGGCUGCACUGCCUGGCCAUGGGGUGAGCAGAUUCACCCCACGCUGAAAGGAGUCCCCGCACUCUGACCACGCUGCUCCACCACGGCGGAGGGAACCCUCACCCUCAGCUUCCUGCUGCUCAACGUCUGUUCAGA
rnacentral:lncRNA from 1 species